GUAGGGAAUAUUGCGCAAUGGACGAAAGUCUGACGCAGCGACGCCGCGUGAGUGAUGAAGGCCUUAGGGUCGUAAAGCUCUGUUGAAUGGGAAGAAAAAAAUGACGGUACCAUUCGAGGAAGGACCGGCUAACUUCGUGCCAGCAGCCGCGGUAAUACGAGGGGUCCUAGCGUUGUUCGGAAUCAUUGGGCGUAAAGGGUGUGUAGGUGGCCAUGUAAGUCAGGUGUGAAAGCCCCGGGCUCAACCCGGGAAGUGCACUUGAUACUGCGUGGCUUGAGUACCGAAGAGGGUAGUGGAAUUCCAGGUGUAGUGGUGAAAUACGUAGAUAUCUGGAGGAACACCGGUGGCGAAGGCGGCUACCUGGUCGAGUACUGACACUGAGGCACGAAAGCAUGGGGAUCAAACAGGAUUAGAAACCCCAGUAGUCC
rnacentral:rRNA from 1 species